GUGAGGGUGUCAGAUCUUGGAGUUACAGACAGUUGUUAGCUGCCGUGUGUGUUAGGAAUUGAACCCAUAUCCUCUGGAAGAGAAGUCAGUGCUCUUUAACAGCUGAGACAACUCUCCAGCCCAUGAUGGGUGAUUUUGACAUUUGUGUAGAUAGAAACUGAUGCUACUAGCUCCAGAAGGAAAAGCAGUAUGGCUUGAAGGAAGGGAUUUGGGUUUGUAAUAUUUGCUUUGCAGUUGUAAACCUAAUAGAAUAUUGGAAACAUCUAGUUGUAAAUGGAAGAAAAUUAUAAAUGGAAGAAAGAGAUGGGAAAAUAAUUAGGGAGUGACACCUCGUCAUUAUGCCAAGUCACCCGCAGUAUAUUUUAAAAAUAAAAGCUAGAAGGGUAGAGUUAAUACUUUUUCAUUUGAAAACCUAAAUGUUACAGUUCUCACAAAAUUUCAGUUCUUAGAAUUUAAAUGUUAGAGGCUAAUAAUAUUUAUUUACUACUUCCUGCAAAGUUUAGGUUAAAUGCCAAACAUUUUGCCCUCAUUAUUUCAUUUACUUCUCAUAACAGCAUGAGUUAAAAAAAUCAUGCUGUCUAGAGUUUUAGGAGGGAUAUAUUGACCAGACUCAUACAAAUAAGUGGUGGAUGUUUAAACUUGGUCAAUCUAACUUUAAAACCUAGGCUUUUAGCCAUUAUGCUAUUUGCCUGUCUUGUGGAAUGAAAGAGUUGUAAUGAAUCUAAAUACUUCAUCUAGGCUUGCUCGAUAAUCAAAUAUAUGUCACAGCUAAAAAUAUAUAAUUAAUGUCCAGAUUAGCUAAUUUCCUUAAUAAAACGCUUAACCAAAACAAACAAAAAAAAACAUUCAUUACUGUGUCCUUAUGGUAGUCGUGUGUGUGUGUGUGUGUGUGUGUGUGUGUGUGUGUGUGAGUUUACUUAUCCCAUUAUCCUAUGAGUUGAGUAGAUUCUCAUUAGCCUAUACCAAUCAUUAAUUAUCCCGUUUUCCUUUCUAAUCAUGUAUAGACAUGAGCUCAUAUCUGGCCCAUAAUUGAUAAUAUGACUGGUGAGAUAGAGGAGGAGUUUUAAUGAAAAGCCUGGAAAAUUUUCACCCCCGUUUCUUGAUAUUUCCAAUUUGAUUGGUGUUUAUAAUUAGGUAUGCUGUUUUGUAACAUUUUUCAGAAUUGUUCCAGAUAAAACCAAAACAUUGAUGACAGUGACAAUGACAAGAUGUCAAGGUCUUAGAUCCUUUAUGAUCUGUUCAGCUGCCUAAUUACCAUAUCUUAAAGCUGUUCACCUAGGUCUGACAUGAAAGUAAAGGAAAUUGUGCUGGGAAUUUAGCUGUGUGGAAUAGGGCUUGCUUAGCAUCUACCUGGCUCUUGGCAAGCUUCUUUCAUCACUUUUUGUGUAUUAUGUGUAACAUUUAUACCCUAACUCUGAUAAUGGUAACACUAAAAAAAAAUUUAGAUGAACAUAAUUUGUGAAUACUAAAUUAUAUCUUUGAUAAUAUCUUAGCAAAAGAUUGAUAACCACAUUAAGAAAAUAAUAUGCUGUGACCAUGUGGGUAUUAUAACAGAAGUUUAAAAAUGGCUCAAUAAUAAAAAUCUUUUAACCUAAUUUUCUUUCUUAAUAGAUCCAAGGUGGGAAAUCAAAUGGUUAUCUUCAUAGCUGCUGAAAAUGGUCCUGACAAAAGGCCAACACCUAUUUUGACCAAAAGAAUGUUUGAGAGACUAGAGUAAAACUCCACCGUGAAUAUAUACACCGUAUAUUGUCUGCCCAUCUGCUGAUAGCCAUCUAGGCUGAUUGCCUGCCUUGUCUUAUUGUGAAUGGUAUUGCAGUAAUCACAGCAUUUUAUUACUAGUACAAGACCAUCCGGAACAUUCUUUCCAUCUGCCUCGAUGACUGGCAGAAUUGGAGACUGUGAUUGCUCCAGCAUCUUGGGUCUUGAGGUGAGGGCACACGGAGUUGAAUCCACAGAUGACCUACUUCGGGAAGCUGCUGAGAGUUGGAAGUUCUUACUGGAUGAAUGUUACUUGAAACCCAUCUAACCUCUCUUCAUUGAUGCAACCUAGUUUGUAAACAAAAUUAAUUUAAAAAAGAUUCUGUAGAAGUAUCAAAGAUUAUAAACAAGUGUUAGCUAUUUGAUUUAGAGAACUUAAGAGUCACCACAAUUCAACAGCACAUUAGCAUAAAAAUUUCAUAAUUUAUGUAAACUGUGAAAUGAGUUAGUGUAAUUAAGAAACUCAUUUUCAAAGACAUUAAAACUACCCUGUCUUUUGUUUCUUAA